CCUUUUCCCAAUAAACAAACACAAGUAAUCCCAAAGGUAAAAUAUCGCCAAUGUCCCAUAACCACCCACACAUGAGCCAAGGCUUAAUGCUGGGAGAAGACUGCUUUAUUUGGAGCCACACACAGCUUUUUAUGCAAAAGCCCCAACAAGGGGUUUCUAAGAAAUAAAUCCCUCCCAUGAUCCUCGUAACUGACCUCCCUAGUUAUU